rfam:Bacillus thuringiensis BMB171 plasmid pBMB171, complete sequence.
GAAAACUAAUAUUCUGAAAGGUAGAAUGAGGAGGUAACGCUCUAAAAUGCCUUCCCUGAUACUCCGAUAUGCAAUCUUGUUGAUAAAGACAAGAUUGUAUAAAGCUCGGUAAAGUCGGUUGAAUGUUACCCCAGUAUGCUCUAAAAGGCAUAUGGAAAACUGCUCAGAGGUGAGUGGCGUAGCAGAUAGACCGGGGGUCUAUAAA